AUUUAUAUAGUUUAAAUAAAAACAUUACAUUUUCACUGUAAAAAUAAAAUCUUUUUUUUUAUAAAUA
rnacentral:tRNA from 1 species